AGUGAAAGAAGCAAAAAUUCAAAACAAGGUUGCGUGACGGAGCUGCGGAGUUCCUCCCUUUGUUAAUCGUCGAAACUAUUAGAAGAUGAGUUCAUAGGACCUCUCUUAGAUUCACCAUUUCAAAAUUUGUCCAAUUUCGAGGUCAAUCUGCCGUUUCUGUUGAUACAGUAAAAGUUAUAGUCUACAGUUUAUUAUAUUUGAUGGAUAAGAGUUGGAUUUCUGAUCAAUCUCAAGUUAAUGAGAAGUAUAUUAGGGGGG